rnacentral:misc_RNA from 1 species
AACGCACCUUGCACUCCUUGGUAUUCCGAGGAGUAUGCCUGUUUGAGUGUCAUUAAAUUCUCAACGCCUUACAUUUUUGUUGUUUCAAAAGUGUACAUGGAUGGUUGGAUUGUGGAGGGAAUGCUGGCAAUUUCUGUCGGCUCCUCUGAAAUGCAUUAGCAAGGAUAAGUUUUGCAAUUGUUGAUGUGAUAAUGAUCAUCGCAUUUGACUGAAGCUUUUGAGUCUUUGCUUACAAUAGUCCUUUAGGACAGUCUUAUUGAAAUUUUGACCUCAAAUCAGGUAGGACUACCCGCUGAACUUAA